UGAAGGGCAAAAAGUUACCAACAAAAAACAAAAAACAACACAAACAAAGGAAAGUGAAUGUAGCACAAUCCAACGUAUGACGUACAACCAGGAAUGUAAAGAAAGUCGAACUAGUAGCCAACUUUUAACACUGUACGUCGGAUGGAACAAGACUUUCUUAACGAAUCGGAAACGGCAGCGUAACAACGAAAAGCCUGAGUUGAGGUCGCUUUAAACCCGUUUAUUUCAGGUGAGUCAUCACCCCAGGCCUUAUACAACAGACAGCAGGAACUGGAGCAACACUUUUCUUCCAUCUUUGAGAGACUUUCUUUCGUAGACGGAGGAGAAGGGACCCCAACAUCAGACAUCAGCAUCAAAAUACAUAUCGUUCUCUACAGGUUUUCCAUCUCAGUGGACCAGUCCUUUAAUCUGCACAUUGGAGGAAAACUGACCCUCCCAGUGACACACACGAUCCAUCCACCAGUGACAGGAAACAUCCAGGUCUGUCUGAGAAGCAAUUCUACACAUUUUGUUCAUCCUCUGUACUUAAUGGAUUUCAAAGUCUUUAAAGAGAAUCUUUAAUACAUGAAUGAUAAUAAUAAUUGUGAGCUAUGAGCUCAGCCGCUUGGAAACAUCAGAGCUAAAACAUUUCCGUUGCCUGUGAGCAGACGGAUGACGUUAAGAUGCUAAAUAAAAAUAAAGCUGUCUCCUUCCGCUCGACGCUCAGAUAUUUAUAUAUUGUACAUAUUAUAUUAACAGUAAAGUAAAUUUAGCUGACGGUGUUUGAUAAAGACAGAAACUAAUCACCAGUUACAGUCUGUAGCUGCAGCGUAACUACAACAACAGAAAUAAACAACAGAUGGAUGUGGAUGAGUGUGGUGUCAGGUGGUGAGAGGCUCGUGAUCCAUAAACCUGUGCUUGGCUGAAGAGCAUUAUCAUUACCUAUGUACCUCUACAGGUCCACAGCCCAGUGGUUGGAGACCUCAGGUGUAUAAACCUCUGACCGGUUUAGACUCAUUAUUAUUCACAUCAUCCCUCAGCCUUUAAGAACUAAUCCCAGAACUGUGGUUGAAACCCCGGACCCACAGGGCACCGUGGGCUCCUUCAGUCCAUUACACACUGUGCAGGGGCAGGAAUAGCUUUUAAUCCAGUAUCCCUGCAGAGAUGGAGAACCUCCAACUCCAACUGUGACGAUUAUCUAAAGGCAGGCUCACUUCACCAGCUCAUUCUCCCAAAAUGCACCUGUUUUACAGUGUGAAUGAUUGUCAUGAGUGAGAUAACCAGCCAGGUGUUUUCUCCAGCCUCCAGCUCUGAAGCUCUCUCUCCUUUACUGUAGGAGUUCUAUCCAUGGACUCUUUCUUUUCUUCUUUCAGCAUAAGAUUUUGAGGCACCUGCUCAGAAACAGAUGGAGAUGAAUAUUCUGGUUCAGUGAACCAGCCUGAAAAGCAAAUCAUCAAUUCAGGUCCGCAUGAACAAAUAUGGAGCCGUGAGACAAAAGUUAGUGGAAACAAAUACUAACCAAAUUUAGUAAAUAUUGCAUCGUUUUGUCUGAACAUAAUUCCCUGUCGACCACUCCAAAAGAAUUAGGAAUUCAUCCUGACCAUGGUUUGCCUCGAGGCACUUCUUCACUUUCCAAUAUAUGAACAAAAAAGGAAUCCUUGUUGAUGCUGUUUAAACAUGAAAGGUGUUUAUUUAUCUCAGGAAAGGAAGAUGGUAUCCUUCAUCAUCCGUCAGAGCGUGUUAAAGGUUAAAGAAGAGAUGAGACAGGAGUUUGGCAAACAUGUGAGCAGGUAGGGCUGGAGCACAGCUGUGGUUUCAGUCACGUCCUCAUUAAAACCAACAGCUUCAUCAUCAAACAGCUGCCUCUAAAUGAGCUGCUUUUACUUUUAAUGUCCUUCACGGAACACACACACACACACACAGAGAGAGAGAGAGAGCGAGAGAGAGCGAGCGAGCGAGCGACACCUCUGCCACUCACUGAUAGUCAGGUCGACGAUUCUUUAACUGUGAACACUUUGAGCUUCUGGAAGUUUCUUAUUAGGUCCAUAAGUCACAGCGGAAGAAAGUGAGUGUGUGUCACAUCUGCAGGCUUUUUAAUUGAUGACGCCAAUCUCAGUGCGGUGUCAGCGCAUACUCACACACACGUACUCACACACACACAGAUCCCUGUUCUGCAGACAUAGACAUCUUGGUCAAGGAGAGUCCAGGGCUCUGGUACGACUCCAUGUUUCAUGACUUACCUUUAGAGUCCAGCCAGUGCAGCAGACAAACAUCUGAAGCUGCUCCUCAUCACCACCACAGCUCGAACGACAACAAACUGUAGGAAAAGUCACUUUUCAGCAUCUGCGCUCCAUCAACGACCAGUGAGUCUAUGCGUCAAAAACACCUUGACUGUAAA